rnacentral:rRNA from 1 species
AUUGAACGCUGGCGGCAGGCCUAACACAUGCAAGUCGAGCGGAUGAAGGGAGCUUGCUCCUGGAUUCAGCGGCGGACGGGUGAGUAAUGCCUAGGAAUCUGCCUGGUAGUGGGGGAUAACGUCCGGAAACGGGCGCUAAUACCGCAUACGUCCUGAGGGAGAAAGUGGGGGAUCUUCGGACCUCACGCUAUCAGAUGAGCCUAGGUCGGAUUAGCUAGUUGGUGGGGUAAAGGCCUACCAAGGCGACGAUCCGUAACUGGUCUGAGAGGAUGAUCAGUCACACUGGAACUGGAACACGGUCCAGACCCCUACGGGAGGCAGCAGUGGGGAAUAUUGGACAAUGGCGAAAGCCUGAUCCAGCCAUGCCGCGUGUGUGAAGAAGGUCUUCGGAUUGUAAAGCACUUUAAGUUGGGAGGAAGGGCAGUAAGUUAAUACCUUGCUGUUUUGACGUUACCAACAGAAUAAGCACCGGCUAACUUCGUG